rnacentral:rRNA from 1 species
CGCGUAGGCGGCUAGGCAAGUCUGAGGUGAAAUCCCCGGCUCAACCGGGGAACUGCCUCAGAUACUGCCUGGCUUGAGUCCCGGAGAGGGUAGCGGAAUUCCCAGUGUAGCGGUGAAAUGCGUAGAUAUUGGGAGGAACACCAGUGGCGAAGGCGGCUACCUGGACGGGUACUGACGCUGAGGCGCGAAAGCGUGGGGAGCAAACA